GAGAUUUGUUAGUACUCCAAGUCCUAGAGAGGUUUGUUACCAUAGAAACAGAGAUAUCCCAAAUUGAAGUAUCUAUUCAGAGCAAUGAGUCUUCAAACACAAAUGAAGGAAAUCAUUGGGAUCGCUACGAAUUCUCCCUUUUCUUCUUCUUUUUUUUCUUUUUUAUAUUUCUUUACUUAUUUGAAGUUAAAAGAUCCUUCAAUCAUAUCUCAAUUCUAUCCACUUCUUUAUACAAAUAUAUAUAUAUAUAUAUAUAUAUAUAUAUAUUUUGUAAUUGGUAGAUCCAAAUCCCUAUUCCACUCAUAUAGAACAUAGGGUUAACUUAUAAUUGUUCGUCUUGGAUUCAACAGGGACUGUGCCGGUGGUUGACGUCAAUGCUAAGAAAGAAAAUUCCCUUAUAAGCCAAAAGAAGCACCUAAUGAGUCCGCUGAUGAAUUUGCAGAAGGAGAAAACUCUAAGAAAAAAGGAAAAAAAAUCGAUGUCGAAGAAAAAGAAUACAAUGAGAAGGAAAAGAGCACGAUCCAGAAGGAGGGACAAUCAGGUGAAACACCUACCCGAUGCAGAGAAAUUAGCUUUGUUUUACAGGUAUCAGAAGUUUCUCCUACUGGAUGUACCUGUGAUGAAGCGUGGGUAACCGUCAGGAACAUACUAUGAGAAGCCUGGAUGUUAUUUACUGUACCCAAUUAGGUGGUUCAAUUAUGUUCAAUUAAUAUGCAUUCCCAAAUUGCAAUCUGUUUUUACUGUGCCCAAUCAACUGGUUCAAUUAUGUUCAAAUAGUAAUUUAGUAUGCACUUCCAAAUUGUAA